rnacentral:lncRNA from 1 species
AUUGGAUAGAAUCAUUGUGUGCUUAUACGCCCCAACCCAACCAACAAAACUCCAGAUGGAUUUGUAUUAAGUUUGGCAGGGCUCAAUGAAGUUCUACCAGUGAUUAAUAUUAUGCUGAUCUUGCAAAGUUCCAUUGGGUUUUGGCCUCAUGCGCACACGCAUGAAUGGCAAAGUUUGAGCUGCUAUAUGCAAUGUGGAAAGAAAACUCUACUACGAGUCAUGAAUGAAUUAAGAUGGCCAUUCUGCAGCACGAUCUGUCUGCACUGAUAUAGUUACAGUUGUGAUUCUUCUUCAGUGGUGGACCGGUUUUUCUAUGAAAUGGGAGAGGGUCUCCCUACUA